rnacentral:rRNA from 1 species
AGAUUGAACGCUAGCGGGAUGCUUUACACAUGCAAGUCGAACGGCAGCGCGGACUUCGGUCUGGCGGCGAGUGGCGAACGGGUGAGUAAUAUAUCGGAACGUGCCCAGUAGCGGGGGAUAACUACGCGAAAGCGUGGCUAAUACCGCAUACGCCCUACGGGGGAAAGGGGGGAUCGCAAGACCUCUCACUAUUGGAGCGGCCGAUAUUAGAUUAGCUAGUUGGUGAGGUAAAGGCUCACCAAGGCGACGAUC